UACAUGGGGUGCAAACGUUGCUCGGAAUUAUUAGGCGUAAAGCGCACGUAGGCGGUUCGUUAAGUCGGAUGUGAAAGCCCUCGGCUCAACUGAGGAAGUGCACCCGAAACUGGCGAGCUUGAGUACGAAAGAGGAUCGCGGAAUUCCCGGUGUAGAGGUGAAAUUCGUAGAUAUCGGGAGGAACACCGGUGGCGAAGGCGGCGAUCUGGGUCGAUACUGACGCUGAGGUGCGAAAGCGUGGGGAGCAAACAGG
rnacentral:rRNA from 1 species